rnacentral:rRNA from 1 species
GAUGAACGCUGGCGGCGUGCCUAAUACAUGCAAGUCGAGCGAACGGACGAGAAGCUUGCUUCUCUGAUGUUAGCGGCGGACGGGUGAGUAACACGUGGAUAACCUACCUAUAAGACUGGGAUAACUUCGGGGAACCGGAGCUAAUACCGGAUAAUAUUUUGAACCGCAUGGUUCAAAAGUGAAAGACGGUCUUGCUGUCACUUAUAGAUGGAUCCGCGCUGCAUUAGCUAGUUGGUAAGGUAACGGCUUACCAAGGCAACGAUGCAUAGCCGACCUGAGAGGGUGAUCGGCCACACUGGAACUGAGACACGGUCCAGACUCCUACGGGAGGCAGCAGUAGGGAAUCUUCCGCAAUGGGCGAAAGCCUGACGGAGCAACGCCGCGUGAGUGAUGAAGGUCUUCGGAUCGUAAAACUCUGUUAUUAGGGAAGAACAUAUGUGUAAGUAACUGUGCACAUCUUGACGGUACCUAAUCAGAAAGCCACGGCUAACUACGUGCCAGCAGCCGCGGUAAUACGUAGGUGGCAAGCGUUAUCCGGAAUUAUUGGGCGUAAAGCGCGCGUAGGCGGUUUUUUAAGUCUGAUGUGAAAGCCCACGGCUCAACCGUGGAGGGUCAUUGGAAACUGGAAAACUUGAGUGCAGAAGAGGAAAGUGGAAUUCCAUGUGUAGCGGUGAAAUGCGCAGAGAUAUGGAGGAACACCAGUGGCGAAGGCGACUUUCUGGUCUGUAACUGACGCUGAUGUGCGAAAGCGUGGGGAUCAAACAGGAUUAGAUACCCUGGUAGUCCACGCCGUAAACGAUGAGUGCUAAGUGUUAGGGGGUUUCCGCCCCUUAGUGCUGCAGCUAACGCAUUAAGCACUCCGCCUGGGGAGUACGACCGCAAGGUUGAAACUCAAAGGAAUUGACGGGGACCCGCACAAGCGGUGGAGCAUGUGGUUUAAUUCGAAGCAACGCGAAGAACCUUACCAAAUCUUGACAUCCUUUGACAACUCUAGAGAUAGAGCCUUCCCCUUCGGGGGACAAAGUGACAGGUGGUGCAUGGUUGUCGUCAGCUCGUGUCGUGAGAUGUUGGGUUAAGUCCCGCAACGAGCGCAACCCUUAAGCUUAGUUGCCAUCAUUAAGUUGGGCACUCUAAGUUGACUGCCGGUGACAAACCGGAGGAAGGUGGGGAUGACGUCAAAUCAUCAUGCCCCUUAUGAUUUGGGCUACACACGUGCUACAAUGGACAAUACAAAGGGCAGCGAAACCGCGAGGUCAAGCAAAUCCCAUAAAGUUGUUCUCAGUUCGGAUUGUAGUCUGCAACUCGACUACAUGAAGCUGGAAUCGCUAGUAAUCGUAGAUCAGCAUGCUACGGUGAAUACGUUCCCGGGUCU